rnacentral:rRNA from 1 species
UGGAUCCAGACUUUGAUUCUGGCUCAGGAUGAACGCUAGCGACAGGCUUAACACAUGCAAGUCGAGGGGCAGCAUAAUUUGUAGCAAUACAGAUUGAUGGCGACCGGCGCACGGGUGAGUAACGCGUAUGCAACUUACCUAUCAGAGGGGGAUAGCCCGGCGAAAGUCGGAUUAAUACCCCAUAAAACAGGGGUCCCGCAUGGGAAUAUUUGUUAAAGAUUCAUCGCUGAUAGAUAGGCAUGCGUUCCAUUAGGCAGUUGGCGGGGUAACGGCCCACCAAACCGACGAUGGAUAGGGGUUCUGAGAGGAAGGUCCCCCACAUUGGUACUGAGACACGGACCAAACUCCUACGGGAGGCAGCAGUGAGGAAUAUUGGUCAAUGGCCGAGAGGCUGAACCAGCCAAGUCGCGUGAAGGAAGAAGGAUCUAUGGUUUGUAAACUUCUUUUAUAGGGGAAUAAAGUGGAGGACGUGUCCUUUUUUGUAUGUACCCUAUGAAUAAGCAUCGGCUAACUCCGUGCCAGCAGCCGCGGUAAUACGGAGGAUGCGAGCGUUAUCCGGAUUUAUUGGGUUUAAAGGGUGCGUAGGUGGUGAUUUAAGUCAGCGGUGAAAGUUUGUGGCUCAACCAUAAAAUUGCCGUUGAAACUGGGUUACUUGAGUGUGUUUGAGGUAGGCGGAAUGCGUGGUGUAGCGGUGAAAUGCAUAGAUAUCACGCAGAACUCCGAUUGCGAAGGCAGCUUACUAAACCAUAACUGACACUGAAGCACGAAAGCGUGGGGAUCAAACAGGAUUAGGUACCCUGGUAGUCCACGCAGUAAACGAUGAUUACUAGGAGUUUGCGAUACAAUGUAAGCUCUACAGCGAAAGCGUUAAGUAAUCCACCUGGGGAGUACGCCGGCAACGGUGCAACUCAAAUGAAUUGACGGA